AGUUUGUACAGGUUGUCUACAGGAACAUAACUGUGUCAAAAUAUGCUCGUAAGUUUCUAGAGUUGGAUCGAUAUUCCCCUGAGACAUUGUUGGAUGAAGGCAGGAAGGCUAGAAGGUUUGAAUGGGGUCUCUGCCCAGAGAUCAGACAACAGUUGUUUGUGCUGGAGCUCAAGACUUAUUCGGUUAUUCUGGCCAAGGAACAAUUAGUGGAGAGGAGCUUCCGCACCUUCUCUCAGGCAGUAGAGAACCUUAGACCAUUAGCUCCACCCCGCAGACCAGCACCUACUGCGCCUGUUCAACAGAAU
rnacentral:lncRNA from 1 species